rnacentral:rRNA from 1 species
UACGGAGGGUGCAAGCGUUGUUCGGAUUUAUUGGGCGUAAAGCGCGUGUAGGCGGUUUGUUAAGUCUGAUGUGAAAGCCCCGGGCUCAACCUGGGAAGUGCAUUGGAAACUGGCAGACUUGAAUACGGGAGAGGGUAGUGGAAUUCCUAGUGUAGGAGUGAAAUCCGUAGAUAUUAGGAGGAACACCGGUGGCGAAGGCGGCUACCUGGACCGAUAUUGACGCUGAGACGCGAAAGCGUGGGGAGCAAACAGGAUUAGAUACCCUGGUAGUCCACGCCGUAAACGAUGAGUACUAGGUGUUGCGGGUAUUGACCCCUGCAGUGCCGCAGCUAACGCAUUAAGUACUCCGCCUGGGAAGUACGGUCGCAAGACUAAA